rnacentral:rRNA from 1 species
UACUUUGAUGGCGACCGGCAAACGGGUGCGGAACACGUACACAACCUUCCUUUUAGUGGGGAAUAGCCCAGAGAAAUUUGGAUUAAUACCCCGUAACAUAACGAUGUGGCAUCACAUUGUUAUUAUAGCUUCGGCGCUAGAUGAUGGGUGUGCGUAUGAUUAGAUAGUUGGCGAGGUAACGGCUCACCAAGUCUACGAUCAUUAGCUGAUGUGAGAGCAUGGUCAGCCACACGGGCACUGAGACACGGGCCCGACUCCUACGGGAGGCAGCAGUAAGGAAUAUUGGUCAAUGGACGCAAGUCUGAACCAGCUAUGCCGCGUGAAGGAUUAAGGUCCUCUGGAUUGUAAACUUCUUUUAUCUGGGACGAAAAAAGGUCUUUCUAGAUCACUUGACGGUACCAGAUGAAUAAGCACCGGCUAACUCCGUGCCAGCAGCCGCGGUAAUACGGAGGGUGCAAGCGUUAUCCGGAUUCACUGGGUUUAAAGGGUGCGUAGGCGGGCAGGUAAGUCAGU